rnacentral:rRNA from 1 species
AGAGUUUGAUCCUGGCUCAGGAUGAACGCUAGCUACAGGCUUAACACAUGCAAGUCGAGGGGCAGCAUGAAGUUUGCUUGCAAACUUUGAUGGCGACCGGCGCACGGGUGAGUAACGCGUAUCCAACCUUCCCCUUACUAGGGAAUAGCCCGGCGAAAGUCGGAUUAAUGCCCUAUGUUCUCCUUUGCGGGCAUCUAACGAGGAGCAAAGAUUCAUCGGUAAGGGAUGGGGAUGCGUCUGAUUAGCCAGUUGGCGGGGUAACAGCCCACCAAGGCGACGAUCAGUAGGGGUUCUGAGAGGAAGGUCCCCCACAUUGGUACUGAGACACGGACCAAACUCCUACGGGAGGCAGCAGUGAGGAAUAUUGGUCAAUGGACGAGAGUCUGAACCAGCCAAGUAGCGUGCAGGAUGACUGCCCUAUGGGUUGUAAACUGCUUUUAUGCGGGAAUAAAGUCAGGUACGCGUACCUGUUUGUAUGUACCGCAUGAGUAAGGACCGGCUAAUUCCGUGCCAGCAGCCGCGGUAAUACGGAAGGUCCGGGCGUUAUCCGGAUUUAUUGGGUUUAAAGGGAGCGCAGGCGGGUUAUUAAGCGUGUUGUGAAAUGCGGCGGCUCAACCGUCGAAUUGCAGCGCGAACUGGUUACCUUGAGUGAGUACGACGUCGGCGGAAUUCGUGGUGUAGCGGUGAAAUGCUUAGAUAUCACGAAGAACCCCGAUUGCGAAGGCAGCUGACGAGUCCUUAACUGACGCUAAUGCUCGAAAGUGCGGGUAUCGAACAGGAUUAGAUACCCUGGUAGUCCGCACGGUAAACGAUGGAUGCCCGCUGUUGGCGAUACAGUGUCAGCGGCCAAGCGAAAGCGUUAAGCAUCCCACCUGGGGAGUACGCCGGCAACGGUGAAACUCAAAGGAAUUGACGGGGGCCCGCACAAGCGGAGGAACAUGUGGUUUAAUUCGAUGAUACGCGAGGAACCUUACCCGGGCUCAAACGCAUCGCGCUACACCCUGAAAGGGGUGGUUCUUCGGACGCGGUGCGAGGUGCUGCAUGGUUGUCGUCAGCUCGUGCCGUGAGGUGUCGGCUUAAGUGCCAUAACGAGCGCAACCCCCAUCUUCAGUUGCCAUCGGGUGAUGCCGGGCACUCUGGAGAGACUGCCGGCGCAAGCUGUGAGGAAGGCGGGGAUGACGUCAAAUCAGCACGGCCCUUACGUCCGGGGCGACACACGUGUUACAAUGGCGGGGCUACAGAGGGGAGCCAGGCGGCGACGCCGAGCUGAUCCCGAAAACCCGUCUCAGUUCGGAUCGGAGUCUGCAACCCGACUCCGUGAAGCUGGAUUCGCUAGUAAUCGCGCAUCAGCCAUGGCGCGGUGAAUACGUUCCCGGGCCUUGUACACACCGCCCGUCAAGCCAUGGAAGCUUGGAGUGCCUGAAGUCCGUGACCGCAAGGAGCGGCCAAGGGUAAGACAAGUGACUGGGGCUAAGUCGUAACAAGGUAACC